GGCCGCGGUACCCUAACCGUGCAAAGGUAGCACAAUCACUUGUUCUUUAAAUAGGGACUAGUAUGAACGGCACCACGAAGACCAUGCUGUCUCCUUUUUCUAAUCAGUGAAACUGAUCUCCCCGUGAAGAAGCGGGGAUUAUUUUAUAAGACGAGAAGACCCUAUGAAGCUUAAAAUUUUCAUCAACUGCCCCCCAUACACCACCUUAACCUGGCAGACCUGAUUACUAAUUUUUGGUUGGGGUGACCGCGGAGCAAAAUUAAACCUCCACAAUGAAAGGAUUAAACCCCUUAUUCAAGAAUCACACUUCUAAAAAUCAAUAUAUUGACAUAAAUUGAUCCAAACCUUUGAUCAAUGAACCAAGUUACUCUAGGGAUAACAGCGCAAUCCAUUUCAAGAGCCCCUAUCGACAAAUGGGUUUACGACCUCGAUGUUGGAUCAGGGUGUCCUAGUGGUGCAACCGCUACUAAAGGUUCGUUUGUUCAACGAUUAAAACCCUACGUGAUCUGA
rnacentral:rRNA from 1 species